CAACAGUAGACACAACACUGGUGUGAUACUAAUGCUGUUCUAGAUCAAAGUGCAGAGCACAGUGCUGUAUAUGUUGCUGCAGGGAAAGUUAAUUCUAUCCCAGCAAGGCCCAGGAGAGGGUGGAAUUAAAUGAUCUUUAAGGUAUGAAGCUUUGUCUGAGCUUCCUCUUUAUGACAAUGUUUGUGGCCUCUCCAGUGGCCCAUCAGUCAGUGACCUGAGAAUAUGGAGAUUAAUUUACCAGCAUUUUGGUGCCUCUCCUGGACAGUUUUGACGAUCUGCAUUCUUGCAUGGCUGGAUCCUGUUCUCCAUAUAAUUUGCUGGAGGAAAGAAAAAAAGCUAGAACAGAACCUUAGAGACAAUUUCACACAUCUGUUCCUAUGGGCAAUCUUUCAUUCUUCUUCAUUUAUAAUUAAUGAAAAAUAAUGGUGCUGACACAAGUUAAUUACUAUGAAAAAUUACAGUUUAUGGUAUUCAUUAUAAUAAUGGCAAAUUACUUGAGAUUUUCAAACACUGUUCCUAAGCAAUUAGAAUUGUUCAUAAGGAGUUCACUUAUGAUAUCUUUUUUUUGUAUGAGUUUGCACUCAGUAUAGUGAAGGAAACACCCAUACUUUUUCAUUAACAACCAAGGUAAAACAAAAGAUAUUAAUUACAAGUCCUGUUUCUGAGGGAGGAAAAUGAAGAACAAACGGAGCAUAUGUUGAUGUAACAGAGGUCAAUCAACAAUGCACAAAGAUAUUCAUUAUAGUUAAACUUUUCUCAACAGAUCUAGAAGAAAUAUUAUUAAACCUUGUCAUUCGAAAAUGACUUAAUGUAAGUAACUAGAACUACUGUCACAUCUUCAGCAAAAUAUUAUAUCAGUAGUUUAAAAAUUAGAACUAGUAUUCUGAAAAUUAACACAUUCAAAUUAGAAGAAUGUUUCUUCUGUAUCUGCUUUUUUUUCUUAGCACACAAACUGAAAAUAAAUAUGUGUGUGUUUUUUUUUUUUCAGAUAAUUAAGGAUAAUGUAUGGUUGAAACACACUAAUCAAGUCUAAUGUGUUUAGGCAAAUGACUAAAAAAUACACAGUAUAUAUAACGUCAAAAAUAAUUGAGAAUGGUUGCUUUACAUUUCACUUAAAAACAUGAAUUAAUGAGAAAAAAUAUACAUUUUACUGCAUAUCAUUGGUGCAUAUUUAGAAUGAUGCAUGUAAUAAUGCAAAAGUUAGCUCAAAAAGUGCUAUUAAAAAUGUUUAUUUGUUAUCUAAUUACCUUUUAGGUGGAUGAAGUCCUGUUGAUUCAAUGAUACAUUGCUGUGUAAAACUUAGGAAGUCAAAAUCAGUUUCAGUGCAAGUAGAAAUCAUAGAGCACAAACUGGAAAGUAAUACUUCAGUAUACACCAAACAUCUGAUCCAACAACAAAGCCACAGUGCUUGGUUAAGACUUUAUAAUGGAGUAGAAAUCAGAGGAAGUACUAAUUGUGCACAGAAUCACAUUAAAAAAAAAAAUAGAUUUUGAUACUUUGAAAAUGUUAUAAAGAACAUUAAAUGCUAUAAUUUCCAUAGAUAUUCUAGAAUAUCAACAAAUUCCUUGAGUUGGAAGAGGCCUCAAAGAUCGCCUAAUUCCAAUCCCACUACCAUUGGCAGGGGUGCCACCCACUAGAUGAGGUUGCCCAGGGCUCCAUCCAACUUCAUCUUGAACACUUCCAGGAAUGGGACAUCCACAACUUCCCUAGGCAACCUGUUGCAGUGAUUCACCACCCUCUGAGUGAAGAAUUUCCUCCUAACAUCUAAUCUAAAUCUUCCCCCUUUUAGUUUAAAACCAUUCCCUCUUGUCCUAUGUGCCUAUGUAAAAAGUCACUUUCCGUCUUUUUUUUAUAAGGCCACUUUAAGUACUGAAAGGUCACGAUAAGAUCUCUCUGGAGACUUCUUCAGGCCGAAUAUCCCUAGUUCUCUUAGCCUGUCCUCAUAAGAGACAUGAUCUAGUCCUUUAAUCAUCCUCAUGGCCCUCCUCUGUAUGCAUUCAACCAGAUCCACAUCUUUUUUAUACUGGGGCCCCCAGACCUGGAUAUAGUAUGCCAAGAGUGGCAACAUGAGGGCAGAGUAGAGGGGACAAUCACCUCCCUUGACCUGUUGACCACACCUCUUCUGAUGCAGCCCAGAAUGAGGUUGUCCUUCUGGGCUGCAAGUGCACACUACUGGCUCAUGUCAAGUUUUUUGUCCACCUUCUCUGCAAGGCUGCUCUCUAUAAGUUCUUCUCUCUGUCUGUAUUAAUGUAUGGGAUUGCUCUGACCCAGGUGCAUCGUCUUGCACUUGAUCUUAUUGAACAUUAAUUAGAUCCAUGUGGGCCCAUUUCUCAAGCUUAUCUAGGUCCCUUUGGACCCCUUGGUGUCAUCUACAAACUUGCUGAGGGUGCACUCAUUCCUGUUGUCUGUUAUUGAUAAAGACAUUAAACAUUAACAGUCCCAAGGACAGACUCUGGAGUGACACAACUUAUUAUCAGUCUCCACCUAUAACCACUGACUGCAAGUCUCUGGCUGAGGCCACCCAGCCCAUUCUUUAUCCACUGAAUAAUCCACCCUUCAAAUCCAUCUCUCUCUCAAGUUUAGAGAUCGUGUGGGACUGUCAAAGGUCUGAAAGAAGCCCACGUAAAGACUGUUACUAAUGGCUGGUCUUCACUUGUUAAGUGAUACAGUCAUUCCAUCGGACAACCAGAUCAGCCAGACACAAUUUGCUGAUAUGUUGCCCCAGUUUGGAGUACAUCAAUCUGAUGCACAAUUAUGCAGCAGAAGGUAUAAAUUUAUAAAAGACCUAAAGCGCAGAGGAAAAUAACCUGUCAGAAAUGUCCUCGCUUCUACAUCUUUUCCCAAUUACAUUUCUUUUGCAAUGUCAAGAUAGAUUAGUUACCAGCGCUCUUAGUGUAUGUUUGUAGAAUCACUACUAAGCAUUUCAAAAGCAAACACGCAGGAACUUUUGAUAGAUUUUACCUUUGUGAUACAGACAGAUCCUCACUGGGACUACUCCAGUAGUGCUGUACCCAUUUUAAUGUAAAGCUAUUAAAGAUAUGACCCAAGAAAUGAUAAAA